UUAAAAUGCAUAUUUAAAAUGUUUAUGAUUUUUAUAGGUUUAAAUUGUUGUAGUUUGGCUUACGAAAAUGUCUAAGCAAGAUGGCGUCAUUCACGUGUGCUAGGGUAAAUGUUUGGAAUUUAUACAGGAAAGUCGCCCUAUGAUAACAACAGAGCACCAUGGGAACAUGUUGAUGGUGAUGGGAUAAUGAAUAAAAGAAAAAAUUGGAAAGGAAAAUUGAAAAUAAACUACAAAAAGAAGUUUGAAAACUAUUCUACGAAAAUUUAAAAGAUUCAUCUACCGACUCAUCGACGAGUUUCACCGACUUCCACGCUACAAGACAUCCUCAACUCAAGCCCCACAUCAUCUCCGUGCUACUCUGACGAGUUUCACCGACUUCCACGCUACAAGACAUCCUCAACUCAAGCCCCACAUCAUCUCCGUGCUACUCUGACGAGUUUCACCGACUUCCACGCUACAAGACAUCCUCAACUCAAGCCCCACAUCAUCUCCGUGCUACUCUUCUCUUCUUCUCUUCUCUAGCGUUGAAUCUUGUUAGCAGCUCAUGAGGGGUAUUUCGUCGCUUUUCCGGACAGCUUGAGGUAACAAGUCGCGUGAAAAUUAUUUGACCUCCAAAAGUCAAGAAGUUCAAUACAUUUUUUGUUACAGCUCCUAUCAUCUGGCCACAAAGUGGGGUGAAGAGAAGCAGAGGUUUCUGAACGCCCCUGGUUAUCUUUCAGGCCCCGGAGAGAUGCUUAACCAAAAUAUCCACCACGGAACGGAUUGGAUUACAGUUUAUGUAUUUUAUGAAGGUGAAGUAUAACUAAUCAAACAUUGUUAUUGGUUUGGAUAUGUUCAACUGUUUGGAAUUACAACUUUAAGGUUCUUCUGAAUAUAUUUUUAAUAUUUAGUUUUGUACAAGUUCCAGAAUGUAACACAUGUAUGGCAUUACUUUAGUUUCUUUAAGUUGUAAAUACUUGUGUCAAAGCUUACGUCAAAUCCGAGAAUAUCACUUGUGUUAAUAGGUUUUCAGUCUCAGGAAAUAGUGUUCACUGCUAAUGAAGAUGGCAAUAUAGGGAUACUACACUAGUAAUUUUAACCCCUUCUCCGUUGUUAUUAACAACCAGAUAAUGGUGGAAGAACUUGAAUGUGAGUAAUCGCCAUACUAACUUGUGAGAGUUGCAGUCACUAGGCAAUAACCCAGGAGGUAUUAUGGCACUAGGGUAAUUGAGUACAGGUCCAAUAUAACAUCUUUUAGAAAAGGGACUUCAUAGAUGCUUGGGAGUCAUUUUCUCAGACAGUAAUAUGUAUGUAUGUAUAUAUCCAUGUCUGUUAAAAGAGCACAUGAAUCACUUGUAUUAAUUUAUUACACACUCGAAGUCUUAAACUCUUUUCCCAAAGAAGAUUUAACUGUAGCUGUCCAGGUUACAACUUUCAUCUAUAUAUAACUGAUCAAGCUUUUGAACUUUAAGAAACUGAGUCAACCAAGUAUUUUCAGUCUUGACAUUUUCGUUUUUGAUAUAAGUCCAGUUUUUGAACCUUCUGGCUAUCUUAUUUUUGUUUUAAGCUUGUCCUGUUAGAAAGUCCCAACUCCCUCCAUAUAAACACAAAUAUACGAUACCCUAUAACCCAAGUACUUUCAAAUUGGGCCUUUCUUUUUUUAGGGGAACAUAUUAGAUAUGUAAAAACGACUGCUAUUCUUGGACAGAGAUUUCUGUAAUCUUCUAGAGAUGUCAGUAACACUGUGAAAUACCCUAGAGUGGAAUGUCUCUAAAUAGAGUGAGCAGAGGAAGACUAAUUAUACUAUACACACAGAUGUAUAUUUAUAUAUCUUUGAAAUACUAAUUUUGUGUACAUAUGUAUAAUUAAAAUAAGCUCAAAACAUGCAGUGCAAAAAAUUAGUAUUUACACAUAUAAAAGGUACACUAAGUCAUGUCCGGAAAUAUGAUGUUUGCUGGUCUGUUUUUAUACAUGUACACAUCAUUGUGAAAGAUUGUUUUAUGUUUUAUACGCCUCUUUGUUAAGGGGUAUUAUUAUUAUUCUAUACAAUGUGUAUGUUAAAGGGCAUUGCUUAUCUUUCCAAUCUAAGUAUUGUGCUGUUAAAUGUUUGGCCAAACCAUGGGUAUGAAAUUUCCAGAUACAUGGUUGAUUCGCGAUAUAUUAUUUUACCCCUUACAGGAUUAAAUUUAAAGUAGUGCGUAAAUGAGACAGUCUGAAAGUAAAGGGGAGGAAAAAAUACUGUAUUUGAAAAAAAAUUGUGUUUUUCCACUAAGGUGCACAUAUGUUGUAAACCCAAUCCAAGGACACUUUUAUAUAAAAACAACAACAUAUACCUGUACUCACCAUAAUUCCAGAUACAGGGAAUACUGGAAUAGCUUGCUGAAUGAGUGCCAGUUGCAUUUCUCUUCUCUAAUGAAUGUAUCUGUUUUAAGGUGUUUUUGUUGGUAAAAAAAAAACAGGAAAAAUUUCUCUAACAUAUUCAAGGUCGUAGCUAUGGAAACUGCACCAGUGUCGUCACAUGACGAUGCUAUGUCUAAGUUUAUAGUAAGAAUAAAAUAUGUCGAAAUUUUUAUUUCUAAUGUAUAUCUGUUGCAGAUUACAUAAUAAAUUUAAGAAAUUAAAUGGAA